rnacentral:rRNA from 1 species
GACGAACGCUGGCGGCGUGCUUAACACAUGCAAGUCGAACGGAAAGGCCUGCUUUCCCUUGUGGAUUGCGGGUACUCGAGUGGCGAACGGGUGAGUAACACGUGAGUGAUCUGCUCCCAACUUGGGUAUAAGCCUGGGAAACUGGGUCUAAUUCCCGAUAGGGCUGCAGGGUGGUGUCUGUGGUGGAAAACGAUUUUCUAGUGGUUGGGGAUGAGCUCGCGGCCUAUCAGCUUGUUGGUGGGGUAAUGGUCUACCAAGGCGGCGACGGGUAGCCGGCCUGGGAGGGUGGACGGCCACAGUGGGACUGAGAUACGGCCCAGACGCCUACGGGAGGCAGCAGUGGGGAAUAUGGCGCAGUGGGCGGAAGCCUGAGGCAGCGACGCCGCGUGGGGGAUGACGGCCGUCGGGUUGUAAACUCCUUUCGACCGCGAGGAAGCCACCUGGUUGGAAGGGUGGUGACGGUAGUGGGAGAAGAAGCACCGGCUAACUACGUG